rnacentral:rRNA from 1 species
CAUGCAAGUCGAACGGAAAGGCCCUUUCGGGGGUACACGAGUGGCGAACGGGUGAGUAACACGUGGGUGAUCUGCCCUGCACUUUGGGAUAAGCCUGGGAAACUGGGUCUAAUACCGAAUACACCCUGCUGGUCGCAUGGCCUGGUGGGGGAAAGCUUUUGCGGUGUGGGAUGGGCCCGCGGCCUAUCAGCUUGUUGGUGCGGUGAUGGCCUACCAAGGCGACGACGGGUAGCCGGCCUGAGAGGGUGUCCGGCCACACUGGGACUGAGAUACGGCCCAGACUCCUACGGGAGGCAGCAGUGGGGAAUAUUGCACAAUGGGCGCAAGCCUGAUGCAGCGACGCCGCGUGAGGGAUGACGGCCUUCGGGUUGUAAACCUCUUUCAAUAGGGACGAAGCGUGAGUGACGGUACCUAUAGAAGAAGCACCGGCCAACUACGUGCCAGCAGCCGCGGUAAUACGUAGGGUGCGAGCGUUGUCCGGAAUUACUGGGCGUAAAGAGCUCGUAGGUGGUUUGUCGCGUUGUUCGUGAAAACUCACA